UCCCAGCUGGUUCAGUGGUAAAGAAUCUGCCUGCAAUGCAGAAGACCUGGGUUCGAUCUCUGGGUUGGAAA
rnacentral:tRNA from 1 species